rnacentral:lncRNA from 1 species
AGGAUUUGUUCCUUGAUGAUCAAGAGCCGGGCAACGUUGGAUUCCUUUCGUUCCUCGGUGGUGCUGCCUCCUCUGCUGCGGCUGCCGCUGCCGCUGCCCCGGCUGUUGCUGCUCGUGUCUAGUCGGAUCAUGUUUGGUGACACGAUUAUGAGGCUGGUUUGUGAAGCUUCUAAAUUUGAUGUGAAUCAGUUAUUCAAUUUAAUGGACCUGUGGUAUUUGUUUGGUAGGAAAACUAGUUCGUGCGUCGGAUUUUGCAGGGAAUAUUUAGAAAUUUUGUAUCUAGAUUAUAGAUCUAGAUUGGAUCUGUAAUUUCCAAUUUUUAGAUCUGUAUUCCAUUCCUUUACUUGUUUGCUACUACUACAUUUUUAUUCAUGUUUACCUGUAAGUUGGCGGAUUAAAGGUUAAAAUUUAUGUAAUAGAUUUGCCUAUUUGUUGAUUGUCACGCUUCAAAAUAGGUAUUGACCUUAAUUCUGCCCGUUGGCCAUCUAUUUGUUGGACUUUGCUUCACAUGCUCUUCUAUUCUGUUGGAAUACUGGCAUCUAUGAUACAUGCCACCAGAGGAGGAGGUAAAAUUUGAGAUGUUUAACCUGAUCAUUUGGUGAGGGAGAAAUGUUUUGUGAACACUGACCUUUCAAGGAAGAUUAUGUUUAUGGUAGCUCUAGCUUUCUGCAUUUUUGUUUGCAAAUUGAUAAGUUUUGUCUUUAUAACCAUUUGCAUGAUCCAUUUUCAUAAUAGUUUUAAGUUUGUCUUUAGUUCUGGAUAAAUUGGCUGGAAGAGNNNNNNNNNNNNNNNNNNNNNNNNNNNNNNNNNNNNNNNNNNNNNNNNNNNNNNNNNNNNNNNGGGGGGGGGGGGGAGGGGGUGUAUAUCAUAGAGAGAGAGAUAGAGAGCGCUAGCUUUAGCGUUCUUUCUAUUUUAGCUGUGUAAGGGGUAGACGCAUAGGGUGGUUAGCCAGGUGGAGAGGAGACUAUGCUGUCUUUGCCUCUGUUUAGCAUGAAUUUAUUUCAUGGUGAACCUCAGAUUGAUUUUGGUUCGAUGACCAGCUUGCUGCAAUUUAUGAGGAAACUGCAUUUUAUUGUUGUUGGGGCAUGGUUGAGGAGGAAGGAUUGGUCGAUAGUACUUUUUUGGUCUAGUGACACUGGGACCCGAGAUAGCAUGCACUCUCUAGAGGGCAGCAUAUGUUAAGACGUUUGUUGGUGAUGAUAUUGGCAUUUUUACUUUAGGAUCUUCCGUUCUAUUUUAUAUGAAACCACGUAAUGUUUUUAAGAGUGCCAAGACAAGAUGGGAUACAGUACAUUAUUAGCAUAAAAUGCAAACUAGUGUUUUUUCCCAUACAAACACCUCCGAAAUAUGAGACCUAGUCUGAACUUAUAUAAAUGAUGGAUUCAACACUAUAUAACAUUCUUUGUCGCUUCUAUUAAGGUAUACUUAUAAAUGGGUCUGCUAUGUGCUCCUUAAUAAAGCUGUGCUAUACCUCGUUGGAAUGGGGGAAAGAGAAAGGACAAGUAAGAGGUGUGUUAUGUGUUCCUAUUGGGGCAUCUAAUUUGAUAGGCUUGUACUUAGAAUGUUGAAUAACUUCAUAUUGACAUUCUUAUAUACAUGGAAGACUUAAUUUUUGUUAUACUUCUUGUAUACAGAAUGUUGAUAGGCUUGUACUUAACAACAACAACAACAACUACCCAGUAUACUCCCACCAGGUGGGGUCUGGGGAGGGUAAAUUAUAUUUCCCUACUCGCAGGCGUACUCGCUCUUUCCCUUCUCUCUCAUCCUUUCUCUCUCCUUGUCCUCCUCGCUCUCCUCGGUGGCUGGUUUUUCCUUUACCUGUUUAGGCCCUCAGAUCAGCCUGUUGUUAUCCUCGGCCGCACUUUCUCUGACCGCGAAACGCUGGGGAUCUUAGUAGUGUCCACUAUUGUUGUGGUGUUCCUCACCAGUGUCGGAUCACUGCUCAUAUCUGCACUUCUUGUUGGACUGGCUAUUGUUUGUGCUCAUGGAGCUUUUAGGGUUCCGGAGGAUUUGUUCCUUGAUGAUCAAGAGCCGGGCAACGUUGGAUUCCUUUCGUUCCUCGGUGGUGCUGCCUCCUCUGCUGCGGCUGCCGCUGCCGCUGCCCCGGCUGUUGCUGCUCGUGUCUAGUCGGAUCAUGUUUGGUGACACGAUUAUGAGGCUGGUUUGUGAAGCUUCUAAAUUUGAUGUGAAUCAGUUAUUCAAUUUAAUGGACCUGUGGUAUUUGUUUGGUAGGAAAACUAGUUCGUGCGUCGGAUUUUGCAGGGAAUAUUUAGAAAUUUUGUAUCUAGAUUAUAGAUCUAGAUUGGAUCUGUAAUUUCCAAUUUUUAGAUCUGUAUUCCAUUCCUUUACUUGUUUGCUACUACUACAUUUUUAUUCAUGUUUACCUGUAAGUUGGCGGAUUAAAGGUUAAAAUUUAUGUAAUAGAUUUGCCUAUUUGUUGAUUGUCACGCUUCAAAAUAGGUAUUGACCUUAAUUCUGCCCGUUGGCCAUCUAUUUGUUGGACUUUGCUUCACAUGCUCUUCUAUUCUGUUGGAAUACUGGCAUCUAUGAUACAUGCCACCAGAGGAGGAGGUAAAAUUUGAGAUGUUUAACCUGAUCAUUUGGUGAGGGAGAAAUGUUUUGUGAACACUGACCUUUCAAGGAAGAUUAUGUUUAUGGUAGCUCUAGCUUUCUGCAUUUUUGUUUGCAAAUUGAUAAGUUUUGUCUUUAUAACCAUUUGCA